AGUUCAGAUUUUUUGCCAACUGUUCAAUCUGUUCCUUCAAAUGUUGUGUUGUGGACGUCAUCACAGUUUCAGUUCAAUUCUAUAGAAUCAGGAUAUCUUUCGGAAAACGGUGCUUGUGAAAAGUUUAAAAAUACUCGUAUGUUCUGUAGUUGCUCGAUAUUCAAAAAACCUUUUGUACCACGUCACUAUAUGAUGCUUGACGAAUUCAGCGGAAAAUGUCUCCAAUCUCUUAAAGCAAAAAAUCUCAGUAACAUGAAAAACUGGCUUCCACUAUUCAAUUUAAUGAAUUUGGUCAUGUAAAAGAUGUUCGUUGUAAUGGAGUCCACAAGUUUAGGUUCAGGAAGAACGAGCUGAAACUGAAUCUCGAAUUUUCAUUAAUCAUCGUCUGGAGCUGGAAGAGAACUCGUUUAUGUAUCUAAGGUUGUAUCACCGGCCUAAAUUUCCGGAAAUUUAUUAUAAGUAUGUAAUUUUUUGCCAACAAUAUUACCUUCUCAGGUACAUGGACUGCAUUUCAAGUUUCUUCGCGAUCAUUCUGAGUGAUUGUAAGGGUGGUUGUGAACAGAUUUAGAAACUAUGGACAGUAUAUGAAUUAUCAACAUUAUUAAAAUUAUACAAAUAAGAGGAAAAUUUGCAACAAAACGAGUAAAAUGAAGAAAUUGUAACUUACCUCUUAAUACGUUCAAUUCUGCACUAUACAGAACACUCACUUCUUCAAUAGUAAUGUGUUCCAUUUUUUCUUAUUCUAGAGGUACCUAGGUACUUAUCUUGAUUCGUGAUUCGUGCACACUAAACUACAUUUCCUCCUUUAAAACUGUAAUGUUACCCAAAUUCCCCUAGUUUUCCCCUUAUUUCCGCCAUUUUCCCCCACGACUACUUUUUCACUGCUAUUUUCCCCAUGAUUGGGGGAAUUCCCCUCGAUAUCCGAACACUGUAUUUUGUAGGUACGCUAAAAACACUGUUUGCAACGUCGCGUCGCGGCGUUCAUUAUAGUAAAUGAACAAACGUUCACAUGAACGCGUGCAUGAUUCCUGAACAUGAACAACCCAAUGUACCUGUCGUAAUAGAAAUAAUCAUACAUCUGCACUCAGUGAGACACUCACCAAAUACAAAACGAAUAGCACAAAUAAUGAACUUUUGAGCUUUCUCUGAGCUUUAAAGCAGCAGCUGCGGAUUGGCAGACCAAGUGCUUUUAAAAUAGGGUUGUAUAUACUAACUUUUGAGACCAGUCCCAGCUUUCAGUUAUUUCGGGGCCAUUGCAGUAGGUAUACCUCUUCUACUUACUAUUAGGAAUAUGUUGGAUUCGGGAUUCCCAAUAUUAUUGAAUUAAGAUAAAUAAUAUUUUUAAAACCGAUGACUAAACUAUUUCAAGAAUACUUAAAUUAAAAGUUCAACACAAUUAGGUACCUAUAUUUCUCACAUCCAUUCUUACAGAUGCAGUCAUUAAGGCAUGUCUCUGUAGCAAGUUGAAAGUUGCCAUCAUUUUUGAAUUUUUAAGGUCUUUUUUUCUAAGUUGAAAUUGAUUAGUCGAGUAGACAUAGUACGGACACAUCAAUCUUAUCUAGGUAUGCUGUUUUGAUUAGGUAUUUGAUAUACCUAUGUACUCUGUGAACAAAGGUACAGGGUGUGCAGGAAUAUCGUGAACCUCUAACAAAGUUUUCUGCUAAAUAUUUCGGUUGGUCACAGUGAAUGAUAAUGGACUGAGAUGAUAAUAUUCCACCAACCAUAUGCAUCUAUUUCACAUUGCCAACCUAUAGUUUUAAUGAAAAACUUACUCUAGUGUUCACGAUAUUUUUGUGCAUGCCAUAUCCUGUUACUCAAGUUACUGUAGGUUCUAUGUAGGUAGAUAUACUCUUGAUUUUACAAUUCAUUUUAUUAAUUAAUUAAACACUACCUAUUAAGUAUUGUGAAUUGAUCAUUUAGGUACGUAUAAUCAAUUUUAAAACAAAUUAUACUUAUUUAAUAAUUUCAUUAAAUUAACAAAAAAAAAUUUCCAAUUUUAUUUAUUCUUGCAAAAAUGAUAUUUUUUAUAAUUAUUUUGUUUGAUAUUAAAUUUCUCUAUUUUUUAUUUUAAUGAGCUAUUUUUCAAUUUUAAUAAUUAAAAUAGGCAUGUUUUCUUACCUUUUGUUGAACUUAUUUUUGUGCAUGAAUUACUUUUCAAGUGUGUUUUUUCCCAUUUGUUUGCCUUACUUAUACCUAUCUAUGUAUGUACUAUGAUCUUUAUGUUAUGUGGAAUCAUGAUUAUUUAUGAGGAAAAGAUACCGAGCCUAUGUAAAUUAAUAUCGUCAAAUUCCUCACAAUGUGUCACACUGAUUUUGUAAAAACAGAAAAAAUUGUUGAUUUGACCAUAUGUAACAUUAUUUUCUAGCUUUUAAAAACUUGUAAAAAAAUUAAAUCGAUUUUUCAUA